rnacentral:rRNA from 1 species
UACGAAGGGGGCUAGCGUUGCUCGGAAUCACUGGGCGUAAAGCGCACGUAGGUGGAUCGCUAAGUCAGGGGUGAAAUCCUGGAGCUCAACUCCAGAACUGCCUUGAUACUGGCAAUCUCGAGUCCGGGAGAGGUGAGUGGAACUGCGAGUGUAGAGGUGAAAUUCGUAGAUAUUCGCAAGAACACCAGUGGCGAAGGCGGCUCACUGGCCCGAUACUGACGCUGAGGUGCGAAAGCGUGGGGAGCAAACAGG